rnacentral:rRNA from 1 species
CACCCUUUGUUUAUUACACUUUGUUGCUUUGGCAGGCCUGCCCUCGGGCUGCUGGCUCCGGCCGGCGAGCGCCUGCCAGAGGACCUAAACUCUGUUUGUCUAUACUGUCUGAGUACUAUAUAAUAGUUAAAACUUUCAACAACGGAUCUCUUGGUUCUGGCAUCGAUGAAGAACGCAGCGAAAUGCGAUAAGUAAUGUGAAUUGCAGAAUUCAGUGAAUCAUCGAAUCUUUGAACGCACAUUGCGCCCCCUGGUAUUCCGGGGGGCAUGCCUGUCCGAGCGUCAUUACAACCCUCAAGCUCAGCUUGGUGUUGGGCCCCGCCGCCCCGGCGGGCCCUAAAGUCAGUGGCGGUGCCGUCCGGCUCCGAGCGUAGUAAUUCUUCUCGCUCUGGAGGUCCGGUCGUGUGCUCGCCAGCAACCCCCAAUUUUUUUCAGGUUGACCUCGGAUCAGGUAGGGAUACCCGCUGAACUUAAGCAUAUCUAAAGCCAAUUACAGUAGUCA